GUCUACGACCAUACCAUCCUGAACACGCCUGAUCUCGCCUAUCUCGUCUGAUCUUGGAUGUGAAGCAGGGUCAGGCCUGGUUAGUACUUGGAUGGGAGAAAGGAGGAGGAAGCAUAGGAA
rnacentral:rRNA from 1 species